CGGGGGAGCAAGCGUUGUUCGGAUUUACUGGGCGUAAAGGGCGCGUAGGCGGCGUGACAAGUCACUUGUGAAAUCUCCGGGCUUAACCCGGAGCGGCCAAGUGAUACUGUCGUGCUAGAGUGCGGAAGGGGCUACUGGAAUUCUCGGUGUAGCGGUGAAAUGCGUAGAUAUCGAGAGGAACACCUGCGGCGAAGGCGGGUAGCUGGGCCGACACUGACGCUGAGGCGCGAAAGCCAGGGGAGCGAACGGGAUUAGAUACCCCGGUAGUCCUGGCCUUAAACGAUGGAUACUUGGUGUCCGGGGUUACAUAGUCCCCGGGUGCCGGCGCUAACACAUUAAGUAUCCCGCCUGGGGAGUACGGUCGCAAGACUG
rnacentral:rRNA from 1 species